CCGCAAGGCUAAAACCCAAAGGAAUUGACGGGGGCUUACACAAGCGGUGGAGCAUGUGGUUUAAUUCGAAACAACGCGCAAAACCUUACCAAUCCUUGACAUAUGAAAAACCAGGGUGUUUACCCGCUCUGUCUCUUUUAUACAGGUGCUGCAUGGCUGUCGUCAGUUCGUGGUGUGAGCUGUUGGGUUAAGUCCCAGAACGAACGCAACCCUCCUUUGAAGUGAAGGUUUACCUUUUUCAAAGACUGCCAAGGAUAUCUUGGAGGAAGGUGAGGAUGACGUCAAGUCCGCAUGGCCCUUAUGAGUUGGGCUACACACGUGCUACAAUGGGAAUGACAAAAGGAGGCAACAUGGCAACAUUGAGCAAAUCCCAAAAAGUUUCCUUAGUUCGGAUUGUUCUCUGCAACUCGAGAACAUGAAGUUGGCAUCGCUAGUAAUCGUAGAUCAGCACGCUACGGUGAAUUUGUAUCUAAGCCUUGUACACACCGCCCGUCACACUCUGAAAAUUUUCAUGCCUUGAAGCAAAAGAAGUUCACCAAGAACACACAGCGCAAUUAAAAAAAAACAUCUUCCCUUUUUUUUUUUCUGUGUCUUUGUUGGAACCUUUUCUAGAGUUAGGGAGGUGAUUGGAGUG
rnacentral:rRNA from 1 species